UUUUUAGUGAAAACAAGAAAGUUACGGAAAGGAGCAGCUUUGGGAAAAACUAUAGGAAGUUAUAAGCUGAGAAGUAAGAGCCGCUACGCUGGACUUCAGAGCGCAAUCGGCAGUCGGCGGAGCUGCCACGGGAAGGCUAGACCCGGCUCAAAGUUGCCCGUGUCUUGGUGUCCCUGUUCUUUGUGCAGCUAACUUGCUUUUGAAGACUCGAUGCAAGAAUCACCUUGGCUUGCUGUAUGGGACUGGCCCAGAGGUUUUUUUUGUACUGGAGACCUUAUCUUCAAGACUUUCAUAAAGUAUUGCUCAUUAUACAAUGAAUUAAGAGUCCAAAAGAUGAAAAAUAAAUAAAUAAACUGUAAUCAUAAGUAGGCCUAAACAGCAUCAAGUAGAAAUGAAUAUGGGACUUAAUAAGGACACAGGACUUGAAGUCCCAAAAGGUUAUACAGUCUGGAAGACAGAAGACUCUGAAGGUUGUUUAAUUAAGAGGUGGAGGAACCAGAAAUAACUCUGCUAUUUCAGGGGCCAAAUGUUUCUGCCUUGCACUAACAUAUGAAAUGCCACGAUUCACUGACUCUGCUGUGUGGUUUGGGCUACAGGGAAGAGGGGAUCUUCAGAACACCAAUGAGAGA